rnacentral:rRNA from 1 species
AAUCAACGCUGGCGGCGUGCCUAACACAUGCGAGUCGAGCGAGAAAAGGGGGGCAACUCCCUGAGUACAGCGGCGCACGGGUGAGUAACACGUGGGUAAUCUGCCCUGGAGUGGGGAAUAACACCGGGAAACCGGUGCUAAUACCGCAUACGAUCACAGAAUCUGCGGAUUUUGUGAUGAAAGGAGCAAUUCGCUCCAGGAGGAGCCCGCGGCUGAUUAGCUAGUUGGUGAGGUAAUGGCUCACCAAGGCAACGAUCAGUAUCCGGUCUGAGAGGACGGUCGGACACACUGGAACUGAGACACGGUCCAGACUCCUACGGGAGGCAGCAGUGGGGAAUUUUUGGCAAUGGGGGAAACCCUGACCAAGCAACGCCGCGUGGGUGAUGAAGUCUCUUGGGACGUAAGACCCUUUCGACGGGGAAGAAAACCGCAAGGUUUGACGGUACCCGUAGAAGAAGCCCCGGCUAACUCCGUGCCAGCCGCCGCCGUAAUAC